AUUAGAUACCCUGGGUAGUCCACGCUGUAAACGAUCAAUACUAGGUGUGCGGGGACUGACCCCCUGCGUGCCGCAGUUAACACAAUAAGUAUUGCACCUGGGGAGUACGAUCGCAAGGUUGAAACUCAAAGGAAUUGACGGGGGCCCGCACAAGCGGUGGAUUAUGUGGUUUAAUUCGAAGCAACGCGAAGAACCUUACCAGGGCUUGACAUCCUGCUAACGAGACAGAGAUGUGUCAGGUGCCCUUCGGGGAAAGCAGAGACAGGUGGUGCAUGGUUGUCGUCAGCUCGUGCCGUGAGGUGUCGGCUUAAGUGCCAUAACGAGCGCAACCCCCAUCGCCAGUUGCCAACAGGUAAAGCUGGGAACUCUGGCGAGACUGCCGGCGCAAGCUGCGAGGAAGGCGGGGAUGACGUCAAAUCAGCACGGCCCUUACGUCCGGGGCGACACACGUGUUACAAUGGCAGGUACAGCGGGAAGCCACCGGGCGACCGGGAGCAGAACCCGAAAACCUGUCUCAGUUCGGAUUGGAGUCUGCAACUCGACUCCAUGAAGCUGGAUUCGCUAGUAAUCGCGCAUCAGCCACGGCGCGGUGAAUACGUUCCCGGGCCUUGUACACACCGCCCGUCAAGCCAUGGGAGUCGGGAGUGCCUGAAGUACGUGACCGCAAGGAGCGUCCUAAGGCAAAACUGAUGACUGGGGCUAAGUCGUAACAAGGUACC
rnacentral:rRNA from 1 species